rnacentral:lncRNA from 1 species
AUGACCAGGAGCUGAUUUAUUGUUCUCAAACUGUCACUCGUCUUAAAAUUACAUAAGUAAAACAAAGUAAUUAUCAAAAAUUGGUAGUAAAAAAUACUGUAAAUAAAUCUUCUUACACAGAAACGACUAAAUGAGGUAAUAAAUCUAUUUCCUCUGUUAUAAAUUAGUAUUUUUUUCUGAAAUAUGUACCGAGAAGAGCUCUCCAAUAUUGCGCCACUGAACAGAUUUAAGACAUUGCACUAUGUUCUACCUUUUAGUUAGGAGAGAAGGCACCUCUGUCUUCUUUCGAAGCAAGCUGCUCCCCAUCGAGGAUAUUUUCGAACCUCCCAUCUAACAAUAUUGUAGGCCUCUGUAUAUGAUCAACCAGAUAGUUAAGAGAGGUGGAGAGAGUCGCAAACAUUCCUCGAACUGCAGACCUGGCCUGAAUACAUGUUGCAGCAUAAUGAAGUUUAGCUAAAAGUACGCAAGAAUCGGGGGUGGAUGUUAAACAAAAGACGGAUUAAGAUCACAGCUUCAGUAGCCUAUGAGAAGAUUUGAACUCGUAACACAAAGACUUGUAACAAGGUAUCCAGCGCGACUUUCUUACACUUCCACCAAUCCAACAGCCAGAAAGUAGUGCUUGUUUAUCGGCUCCCAACAAGUGGAAAUUGAUCUUAACGUGAUUUGUAGUUACAACGCUGUUCGAAGAAAUAACUCAGGGACAAUUUAUCCAACGCUUGUUUCCAGUAGCCAAGUGUCACGUAAUAAUCAUAAUUGACAAGUAAUAUUCGCACGAUGUCAUAGGAACGUAACCGACAAGUCCAGAUGAUGUUAUUACAGGCCAGGUUAAGAAGACGCAUUACUAUGUCACCACUUCAAUCAAUCUUAUAUAUUAAUGGAAGUUGUCACCACACUAUAAACUCGAAUUGUAAUCUCAUCAAUGAGAGGAAUCUGAAGUUAUGAAGCCAUAUUCGUAGAUAAAGUAUUGGACAUAGAUACCCGUCUCAUCUUUCGCAAUGGUAGUAGUUUCUGACGUGAAAUGAUUAAUAUUGAGGAUGCAUAGAUACGACAGUACUAAGAAAAUAGUCACCACGAAUCUUCUAUCCCCGUGUCGUAGAAUUCUAGAUUGAAUCAGCAAUUGCCAAAUUUCAGCGGGGUGUAUUAUAGAUAUAACAUAUCUAACACCAUGUGUUAAAAAGAAAUAUUACGGGGCAUUACAUUCGACACAUUAAGGAUUUAAUUUCUCAUUUGAUA